rnacentral:rRNA from 1 species
AUUGAACGCUGGCGGCAGGCCUAACACAUGCAAGUCGAACGAGUGGCGGACGGGUGAGUAAUGUCGGGGAAACUGCCUGACGGAGGGGGAUAACUACUGGAAACGGUAGCUAAUACCGCAUAACACCGGAUGUGCCAAGGUGGGAUUAGCUAGUGGGUGGGGUAAAGGCUCACCUAGGCGACGCUCCCUAGCUGGUCUGAGAGGAUGACCAGCCACACUGGAACUGAGACACGGUCCAGACUCCUACGGGAGGCAGCAGUGGGGAAUGUUGCACAAUGGGCGCAAGCCUGAUACAGCCAUGCCGCGUGUAUGAAGAAGGCCUUCGGGUUGUAAAGUACUUUCAGCGGGGAGGCGUUACCCGCAGAAGAAGUACCGGCUAACUCCGUGCCAGCAGCCGCGGUAAUAC